UAGAGCCUGGUCCUAUUGUGCAACUGGGUUGCGGAACAAUCUCAGGAGCUCUUGGGGCAACAUGUGUUUACCCAUUGCAAGUUAUCAGGACCAGAAUGCAAGCUCAACCGGCAAAUACAGCUACAGCAUAUAAGGGGAUGUCUGAUGUAAUCUGGAGAACGUUUAAGAAAGAAGGUUAUAGGGGUUUCUACAAGGGACUUUUUCCAAACCUGCUGAAGGUUGUGCCCGCAGCAAGCAUUACAUAUUUGGUUUAUGAAGCCAUGAAAAAGAGCCUAGACCUGUGAGUGGGUCUGAGUUGAGUUAGGGGAGGGUUAAGGGUGCUGGAUGUUGAUGAUGAAAAAAAGAAACGAAGAAUAAGAUGAUUUGAGUAAAAGAAUUAGGUGAUACGCAUGAGAUUAUUUUUGAGGUAGAUGAUGAUAUUUCCUCUGGAGAAUAUGAGGACACAUAAUUUUGUAGUCAAAUAAUUCUUUUCUUUUACGGGGUUUAUCUGAAUUAAAAUGUUGAGAAAAACAAGGUUAAUUUGGAAUAAUUAUUGUCUGACUGUGAAGUGAUUAGGGUAUAGUCAGUUUUCUUCUCUGUUUACAAUUUGUCUCUACAAUGAAUACAAGAGAUGCAGCAUUUAUCUGAA